rnacentral:tRNA from 1 species
GUGGGUAUAGCUCAAUAUUAGAGUGUGUACUUAGCAUGCACGAGGUCCUAGGUUCUAUCCCCAGUACCUCCA